rnacentral:rRNA from 1 species
UACGGAGGGGGCUAGCGUUGUUCGGAAUUACUGGGCGUAAAGCGCACGUAGGCGGAUUGGAAAGUUGGGGGUGAAAUCCCGGGGCUCAACCCCGGAACUGCCUUCAAAACUCCCAGUCUGGAGGUCGAGAGAGGUGAGUGGAAUUCCGAGUGUAGAGGUGAAAUUCGUAGAUAUUCGGAGGAACACCAGUGGCGAAGGCGGCUCACUGGUCCGGUACUGACGCUGAGGUGCGAAAGCGUGGGGAGCAAACAGG